UGGGGAAUAUUGGACAAUGGGCGAAAGCCUGAUCCAGCCAUGCCGCGUGUGUGAAGAAGGUCUUCGGAUUGUAAAGCACUUUAAGUUGGGAGGAAGGGCAGUAAGCGAAUACCUUGCUGUUUUGACGUUACCGACAGAAUAAGCACCGGCUAACUCUGUGCCAGCAGCCGCGGUAAUACAGAGGGUGCAAGCGUUAAUCGGAAUUACUGGGCGUAAAGCGCGCGUAGGUGGUUCGUUAAGUUGGAUGUGAAAGCCCCGGGCUCAACCUGGGAACUGCAUCCAAAACUGGCGGGCUAGAGUAGGGCAGAGGGUGGUGGAAUUUCCUGUGUAGCGGUGAAAUGCGUAGAUAUAGGAAGGAACACCAGUGGCGAAGGCGACCACCUGGGCUCAUACUGACACUGAGGUGCGAAAGCGUGGGGAGCAAACAGG
rnacentral:rRNA from 1 species